GCUCCCUGUUCUCCCUGCCAGGCCCUGCACAGCAACCCCGGGCCCACCCCACCGCCCUCCGCCUAAGGCUGAGACCCACUUUCUCCUCAGCGCCAGCCCCAGCAGCCCAGCCUGCUACUUGAGGGGAGCAGCCAUUCAGUGGCAGGCAGGCAUCGCGGUGCUGCCCCCCACGCCCAGUGUUGAGGACCCGCCUUCCCAGGCCAGCCCACCACUGGAUGCUGUAGUCACAUAAACAAGGGGAAGAAGAAAUUGUCUGUUUCCCCCCUUGAUGCAAGAACAGAGGCAGUGUGGUAUAAAGGUGGCAUGAAGCUACCUUAUGCCCCCUCCACCUAGGACCAGCAAUGGACCAGGCUGGUUUCUGGUGUAAGUUAGAGCAGCCUCAGGACUACUCCCAUUCACACCCCGCUGCCUGUGGACCCCAAGAGGCAGUUUUAACAUCCAAGACUGGCCUCUCGCUACAUCCUUCUUGGGGAGGGCUGUGAGAGGGAAGUAUCCUAGAGUUACUAGUUGCCUCUCCUUUGGAAGCAAGAUUUCUAUAAUUGGCAGCUGGUAUCUUUCUUCAGGGCCUAAACAUGUUGCUGGAUCUUUCUAAAUAGACCUGUUGUUGCAUGCAAAAGAACAUCAAGAGAAUACUGAGGAAAAGAAAUCCUCAAUUGAUUAGAAUCCAACUUCUUGAAGUACAGCUGCGAACUAAGGAAACACAGUAAAGAGCUAACAAGAAAAAUUUGAACAAAUUACUGAAGCUAUUGUAUGAUUAAACAGUGCAACUCUAAUGGCUUGGAAUUACCAAGGAGACUGAAGUAGCAAAUGACAAUAAUACCCUGGAAGUAGGUUAGCAUGUCAUGUUUGGGGGAGGCUUGCUAGCAACUCCACGAGGCAACAGCUGUUUUCAAGGACAUGUGACAAGAAGAAAUCUCCUUUGGAUCUGAGCAACUUGUUACUCAGGUGGCUCCAAUACCAAUGCCUCUUCCUUGCUAUCUUGUUGCAUAAAUGUCUGAUGUCCUUUCUUGGUGGGUACACACAUUAAACCUGCCACACUGGUAUGUUAAUAGAUAAAUGACCCAAAGUAUUUGGUUCUGUUGUAUAUUUUCAGAUGCAAACGUUUUUGAGCGGCUCUGAAUUUUUCACAAUACAUCUUCCUAUUCUUAUUUUCUUAAUGGGGAGAGAGAGGAAGGGAAAGCAAAACACAGUGGAGGCCAGUUUCAUUCCUUGUGCAAAUCCAUUGACAGCAGAAGGAUUGUGUAAUAUGCAUGUUACCUUGUGUAAUAUUGCAGCAGGAAAGAAGCAAUGGAAAGUUGUAUAUUAUAUAAAUAUCACUCAUACAAGUUUGCUGGAGUACACACUUGCAUGGCAGGUGUAAAAGAGCACACAAGGUGCGAGGCCAUAAGGCCAAUCAGGCCCUUGCAGUUGUAGAGUACUUGUUGCAAUUUAAAAUAUAUCUGAGUUCUAGCACUGUAUACAUUCAAAGCAAUAUCAAUAGCCUUUCAGUUGAUAUAAGCAAUGGGGAGAAAUAUUUAUUUAUUUAUUCAGUAUAAGUGGCAUCACACCUUUAUAUACUAUAUGGCAAUGUCCUUGUAUUGAUUUUGAUAGAAUUUGG